UACAGAGGCCCCGAGCGUUAUCCGGAAUCAUUGGGUGUAAAGGGUGUGUAGGUGGCGUUGUUAGUCGUUUGUGAAAGCCCGAGGCUCAACCUCGGAAACGUGAACGAAACGGCAAUGCUUGAGUAUGUGAGAGGUAAGCGGAACUCAAGGUGUAGGGGUGAAAUCCGUUGAUAUCUUGGGGAACACCAAAAGCGAAGGCAGCUUACUGGCACAUUACUGACACUGAAACACGAAAGCGUGGGUAGCGAAUGGG
rnacentral:rRNA from 1 species